rnacentral:tRNA from 1 species
GGGAAUGUAGCUCAGUGGCAGAGCAUUUGCCUCAUAUGCAAGGUCCUGGGUUUGAUUCCCAGCACUGCCA